UUGUUGUCUUGAAGGCGGACGCACGUGCAUACCAGACACACACUGGGAUAGAUGCACACUUUCCAAUCGAAAAAUGGCGGAAGAGACUGAGACUGCCUAUUCCAAUUAAAAAGGUGAGAAGGUGUGAGUACAAGAAAGACUGAGAAAAUGAAUAUUUGUGGCUGAAAGGUGUUGAGGGGGAUACCGAGAGGGCUUUUUGUGACCUUUGCAAAACGUCCUUCUCAAUCGGACAUGGAGGGGAAUACGAUGUCAAACGACACAGACUCACGGAGACUCACAAGAAACGUGUCCAACAGAAAGAGACCUAAAAACGACUUUCUAGCUGACAAAGUGACUGCUGCAGAGGUGACGAGUGUCUAUCACACUGUCCAACACGCUACAUCAUAUUGAGCAGGAGAUUGUGGCGCAAAGCUAGCCACAACGAUUUAUCCAGACUCGGACAUUGCCGAGAGGAUGGCCUGUGGUCGGACGAAGGCAGAAGCCAUUGUCACGGAUGUACUUGCCCCUGCCUCCGUCAAAGAUUGCUUGAAGGUCCUCAGAAGACCACUGAAUGAGCAACGAGAGGCAACAACCAAAGGUCACUGAAAUUGCAUUCGUUAGCUAACAUAAUGCUGCUCAUCCGUGCCUUCGUGAAACCAGGCUCUGUGUAUCCUUACAUGAUUGUGAGCAACAUUUCACUAUUCGUUAUCUCCCAAACUAAACAAACAAAACAACUAUAAUUUUUGAAAAGGUAUAAAUAUUUCUAUAGAUAAUAUUUAUAUAAAAUCAAUAAUGAUCAAAACAGUAAAGCAGUAUCUUGUAUUUUUUUAUAAUAUCUGUUUUUAAAGAAUCUCUUUUAAGUUCACCCCAUCGUGUGUGUGUCUCCACAGCCCACACGCCAUUCUUCUCAGUGGCUUCAGACGCCUCCAAUCAUGGGACCACCAAGCUCUUCCCACUGUCAGUGCGUUACUGGACGCCAGACUUGGGAGUGCAGACGAAAGUCCUUGAUUUCUAUGAUGACAGUGAUGAAACAUCUGCCGCGAUCCACAACCAGAUAGUCACCAAGCUGGAAGAAAACGGACUGGGACUAGACAUGAUAUCUGCGUAUUCCGCUGACCAUGCUAGUGUGAAUUACGGGAGAUUCAACUCUGUCUUCCAGAAACUGAAAGAGAACAACAAUUGCAUUUUGAAGGCAAACUGUGUGGCCCACAUCGUUCAUAAUAGUGCAAAACACGCAGGAGACUUAAGUCAAUUCACACCUUUGUUGAGAUAGAGUACCAGUCCCUGCUUAGAAAUGUGCCCACAAGAUGGCUGAGCUUGUGGACUGCAGUGAAGAGGCUUCACGACAGCUGGGCUCCUAUCAAGACCUACUUUCUCUCAUUGGGAGAGGACGGGUGCCCAAAGUCACUAUGGCGGCUGUUCAAGGAUGACCAGGAUGGUUUACCUGUCCUUCCUCAGCAAUGCGCUGAAGAUUUUCCACGACACUGUGCUGGUGCUGGAGCGAGAAGAUGGGACUGUCUGUGAGCUCUACGAUAUGAUGUUCUGAUAUGAGGACUUCUACACGUAUGUAGUGAAAGAGAAGGUUCUCCUCAAUGCUGCACGCUCCAACAAGAAAUACAAGUUCAAGAAGAAACCUGAAGAUGCUGGUGAAGCGGUUUGAGUCCUAAAGGUGUCCCCAAAGUCCUAAAGAUGUCACCAGAACACUGAACAGUUUUUUUUCCUGCGCCUGCCUUUACUAACAUGCAAGUUCACCAUCCUUCCUCCCCCUUCUCAUUCCGUGAACGUCUGGAGUCGUGAGUUAAGACUGUUUUUAACUGUUCCUGUGGUGUUGAGCAACUACAAUUCCUGUUCAUCCUAUAAUUUUACGUUAUAAUUUAUUUAAAGUGAAUAAAUUGUAAUGAAAAAUAAAUACAAUUAAAUAGCUA